rnacentral:rRNA from 1 species
UACAGAGGUCUCGAGCGUUAAUCGGAAUCACUGGGCUUAAAGGGUGCGUAGGCGGUUCUGUAAGUGCCUUGUGAAAUCCCAUGGCUCAACCAUGGAAUUGCUCGGUAGACUGCAGAACUUGAGGUCGGUAGGGGUCGCUGGAACUCUAGGUGGAGCGGUGAAAUGCGUAGAUAUCUAGAGGAACGCCAAAGGUGAAGACAGGCGACUGGGCCGAUUCUGACGCUGAGGCACGAAAGCGUGGGGAGCGAACGGG